UACGGAAGGCAGCAGUGGGGAAUAUUGCACAAUGGGCGAAAGCCCUGAUGCAGCUAUGCCGCGUGUAUGAAGAAGGCCUUAGGGUUGUAAAGUACUUUCAUCGGGGAGGAAAAAACAAAACUAAUAAUUUUAUUUCUUGACGUUACCCGAAAAAGAAGCACCGGCUAACUCCGUGCCAGCAGCCGCGGUAAUACGGAGGGUGCUAGCGUUAAUCAGAAUUACUGGGCGUAAAGAGCACGUAGGUGGUUUUUUUAAAGUCAGAUGUGAAAUCCCUGGGCUUAACCUUAGGAACUGCAUUUUGAAACUGAAAUACUAGAGUAUCGUAGAGGGAGGUAGAAUUCUAGGUGUAGCGGUGAAAUGCGUAGAUAUCUGGAGGAAUACCUGUGGCGAAAGCGGCCUCCUAAACGAAUACUGACACUGAGGUGCGAAAGCGUGGGGAGCAAACAGGGAUUAGAUACC
rnacentral:rRNA from 1 species